GCCCGGGUGGUGGAAUUGGUAGACGCACGGGACUCAAAAUCCCGCGCCGCAAGGCGUGCCGGUUCGAUUCCGGCCCCGGGCACCA
rnacentral:tRNA from 11 species